CAACGGUCACCCCAAACGCCUCUCUGGUCCAGAUUUUGAUUUUCCACAUAUUUAUUCAAAAUAUUUUUGGUUUUCAAAAAUUAUAUAAAAACAAAACUAUAGAAAGGGAAACUUUUGGAAACAAAAAAUAAAAACUACUAUAAAAAGGGAAAUUAAAACAAAAUUUAAAGAAUUUAAAAAGACAUAAUACCUGAGCGGGGACACCUCUCCCAAGCUUGCUUGAUGUCACGGGCC
rnacentral:lncRNA from 1 species